UACGUAGGGUGCGAGCGUUAAUCGGCAUUACUGGGCGUAAAGCGUGCGCAGGCGGUUUUGUAAGCCAGAUGUGAAAUCCCCGGGCUUAACCUGGGAAUGGCAUUUGGGACUGCAAGGCUGGAGUGUGGCAGAGGAGACUGGAAUUCCUGGUGUAGCAGUGAAAUGCGUAGAUAUCAGGAGGAAUACCGAUGGCGAAGGCAGGUCUCUGGGCUGACACUGACGCUCAUGCACGAAAGCGUGGGGAGCAAACAGG
rnacentral:rRNA from 1 species